rnacentral:rRNA from 1 species
CGGCGGACGGGUGAGUAACGCGUGGGUAACCUACCCUGUACACACGGAUAACAUACCAAAGGUAUGCUAAUACGGGAUAAUAUAUUUGAGAGGCAUCUCUUGAAUAUCAAAGGUGAGCCAGUACAGGAUGGACCCGCGUCUGAUUAGCUAGUUGGUAAGGUAACGGCUUACCAAGGCGACGAUCAGUAGCCGACCUGAGAGGGUGAUCGGCCACAUUGGAACUGAGACACGGUCCAA